GAUUAACGCUAGCGGCAGGCAUAAUACAUGCAAGUUGAACGGCAGCUCCGGUAGCAAUACUGGGUGGCGAGUGGCGCACGGGUGAGUAACCCGUAUGCAACCUACCAUAUACAGGCGAAUAACCUUUAGAAGUGAGUGCUAAUACGCCGUAGUAUUACAGAUGGGAAUCUAUUUGUAAUUAAAGUUUUAUCGUUAUAGGAUGGGCAUGCGUCCCAUUAGUUAGUUGGUAAGGUUACGGCAUGCCAAGGCGAAGAUGGGGACGGGACAGGAGAGGGUAUACCCUCACAGUGGUACUGAAGCACGACCCGGACUCCUACGGGAGGCAGAAGCAAGGAGGAGUGAGCAGUGGCGGCGAGGCUGAACCAGCCAAGCGGCGUGCAGGAAGACGGCCUGAUGGGUAGUAAACUGCUUUUAUACGGGAAUAAUUGACUGUACGCGUACAAUUAUGCAAGUAUCGUAUGAAUAAGCAUCGGCUAACUCCGUG
rnacentral:rRNA from 1 species